rnacentral:tRNA from 1 species
CUGAGCGUAGCCGGUGAAACCCAGGGAACUACGUUGACAUCGUAGGGGUCACAGGUUCAAUCCCUGUCGCGCCCACCA